UCUUCCGCAAUGGACGGAAGUCUGACGGAGCGACGCCGCUUGGAGGAGGAAGCCCUUCGGGGUGUAAACUCCUGAACUGGGGACGAAAGCCCCGUGUAGGGGGAUGACGGUACCCAGGUAAUAGCGCCGGCCAACUCCGUGCCAGCAGCCGCGGUAAUACGGAGGGCGCGAGCGUUACCCGGAUUUACUGGGCGUAAAGGGCGUGUAGGCGGCCUGGGGCGUCCCAUGUGAAAGGCCACGGCUCAACCGUGGAGGAGCGUGGGAUACGCUCAGGCUAGAGGGUGGGAGAGGGUGGUGGAAUUCCCGGAGUAGCGGUGAAAUGCGCAGAUACCGGGAGGAACGCCGAGGCGAAGGCAGCCACCGGUCCUUUGACUGACGCUGAGGCGCGAAA
rnacentral:rRNA from 1 species